AAGGGAUGUGUUUAUUAGAUAAAAAACCAAUGCCCUUCGGGGCUUUUUGGUGAUUCAUGAUAACUUUACGGAUCGCAUAGCCUUGCGCUGGCGACGGUUCAUUCAAAUUUCUGCCCUAUCAACUUUCGAUGGUAAGGUAUUGGCUUACCAUGGUUUCAACGGGUAACGGGGAAUUAGGGUUCGAUUCCGGAGAGGGAGCCUGAGAAACGGCUACCACAUCCAAGGAAGGCAGCAGGCGCGCAAAUUACCCAAUCCCGACACGGGGAGGUAGUGACAAUAAAUACUGAUACAGGGCUCUUUUGGGUCUUGUAAUUGGAAUGAGUACAAUUUAAACCUCUUAACGAGGAACAAUUGGAGGGCAAGUCUGGUGCCAGCAGCCGCGGUAAUUCCAGCUCCAAUAGCGUAUAUUAAAGUUGUUGCAGUUAAAAAGCUCGUAGUUGAAACUUGGGUCUGGCUGGCGGGUCCGCCUCACCGCGUGCACUCGUCCGGCCGGGCCUUCCUUCUGAAGAACCUCAUGCCCUUUACUGGGCGUGUUGGGGAAUCAGGACUUUUACUUUGAAAAAAUUAGAGUGUUCAAAGCAGGCCUUUGCUCGAAUACGUUAGCAUGGAAUAAUAAAAUAGGGCGUGCGUUUCUAUUUUGUUGGUUUCUAGAGACGCCGCAAUGAUUAACAGGAACAGUCGGGGGCAUCAGUAUUCAGUUGUCAGAGGUGAAAUUCUUGGAUUUACUGAAGACUAACUACUGCGAAAGCAUUUGCCAAGGAUGUUUUCAUUAAUCAGUGAACGAAAGUUAGGGGAUCGAAGACGAUCAGAUACCGUCGUAGUCUUAACCGUAAACUAUGCCGACUAGGGAUCGGGCGAUGUUCUUUUUCUGACUCGCUCGGCACCUUACGAGAAAUCAAAGU
rnacentral:rRNA from 1 species